UCUAGUAAUAUGAUUUUUUCUGUGUUGGUGUUGUGUAAUCAUAUUCACCUGAGUACACAACACCAACACAGAAAAAUCAUAUUACUAGA